AAUAGAUACCCGGGUAGUCCACGCCGUAAACGAUGAGUGCUAAGUGUUAGAGGGUUUCCGCCCUUUAGUGCUGCAGCUAACGCAUUAAGCACUCCGCCUGGGGAGUACGGCCGCAAGGCUGAAACUCGAAAGGAAUUGACGGGGGCCCGCACAAGCGGUGGAGCAUGUGGUUUAAUUCGAAGCAACGCGAAGAACCUUACCAGGUCUUGACAUCCUCUGCCAACCCUAGAGAUAGGGCGUUCCCCUUCGGGGGACAGAGUGACAGGUGGUGCAUGGUUGUCGUCAGCUCGUGUCGUGAGAUGUUGGGUUAAGUCCCGCAACGAGCGCAACCCUUGAUCUUAGUUGCCAGCAUUCAGUUGGGCACUCUAAGGUGACUGCCGGUGACAAACCGGAGGAAGGUGGGGAUGACGUCAAAUCAUCAUGCCCCUUAUGACCUGGGCUACACACGUGCUACAAUGGAUGGUACAAAGAGCUGCGAACCCGCGAGGGUAAGCGAAUCUCAUAAAGCCAUUCUCAGUUCGGAUUGUAGG
rnacentral:rRNA from 1 species